rnacentral:rRNA from 1 species
GACGAACGCUGGCGGCGUGCUUAACACAUGCAAGUCGAACGGAAAGGCCCUGCUUGCAGGGUACUCGAGUGGCGAACGGGUGAGUAACACGUGGGUGAUCUGCCCUGCACUUCGGGAUAAGCCUGGGAAACUGGGUCUAAUACCGGAUAGGAGCCAGUUUUAGUGUGAUGGUUGGAAAGUUUUUUCGGUGUGGGAUGAGCUCGCGGCCUAUCAGCUUGUUGGUGGGGUAAUGGCCUACCAAGGCGGCGACGGGUAGCCGGCCUGAGAGGGUGGACGGCCACAUUGGGACUGAGUGACGGCCCAGACGGCUACGGGGGGCAGCAGUGGGGAAUAUUGAACAAGGGGCGCCAGCCGGGUGCAGCGGCGCCGCGUGUGGGAGGACGGCCUUCGGGUUGUAAACGCCUUUCGCUAGGGACGAAGCUUUUUGUGACGGUACCUAGAGAAGAAGCACCGGCUAACUACGUG